rnacentral:rRNA from 1 species
UGAGGAAUAUUGGUCAAUGGGCGCUAGCCUGAACCAGCCAAGUAGCGUGCAGGAUGACGGCCCUAUGGGUUGUAAACUGCUUUUAUGCGGGGAUAAAGUCACCCACGUGUGGGUGUUUGCAGGUACCGCAUGAAUAAGGACCGGCUAAUUCCGUGCCAGCAGCCGCGGUAAUACGGAAGGUCCGGGCGUUAUCCGGAUUUAUUGGGUUUAAAGGGAGCGUAGGCUGUUUGUUAAGCGUGUUGUGAAAUGUAAGAGCUCAACUUUUAGAUUGCAGCGCGAACUGGCAGACUUGAGUGCGCACAACGUAGGCGGAAUUCAUGGUGUAGCGGUGAAAUGCUUAGAUAUCAUGACGAACUCCGAUUGCGAAGGCAGCUUACGGGAGCGCAACUGACGCUAAAGCUCGAAGGUGCGGGUAUCGAACAGG